CGAAAUCGGUAAACGCUACGGACUUGAAAAUCCGUUGGCUUUAUUGACCGUGAGGGUUCAAGUCCCUCUACCCCCA
rnacentral:tRNA from 1 species